GAUGAAGAACGUAGUAAAAUGCGAUAAGUAAUGUGAAUUGCAGAAUUCAGUGAAUCAUCGAAUCUUUGAACGCACAUUGCGCCCGCCAGUAUUCUGGCGGGCAUGCCUGUUCGAGCGUCAUUUCAACCCUCAAGCACAGCUUGGUGUUGGGACUCGCGUUAAUUCGCGUUCCUCAAAUUGAUUGGCGGUCACGUCGAGCUUCCAUAGCGUAGUAGUAAAACCCUCGUUACUGGUAAUCGUCGCUGCCACGCCGUUAAACCCCAACUUCUGAAUGUUGACCUCGGAUCAGGUAGGAAUACCCGCUGAACUUAAGCAUAUCAAUAAGCGGAGGA
rnacentral:misc_RNA from 1 species